UCGUUCUUCCAUCUAGCUUUUAGCCUGCGAUUAGCUUUUUUUGUUUCUUCCUUGCAGUCAGAGUAACCUCCGCUUUUCGCCAGUCCCUCACAAGUUUUUCGCUCACUCCAAACUUUCUUUCUGCUGCUCGAUUACCGUUUUCAGCUGCAUAUUUCACUACUUGCAACUCGUAAUCUGCAGAAUAUGAUU